AUUGAACGCUGGCGGCAGGCCUAACACAUGCAAGUCGAGGGGUAGCAAGAUUGUAGCAAUACAAUUGUUGACGACCGGCAAACGGGUGCGGAACACGUACACAACCUUCCUACAAGUGGGGAAUAGCCCAGAGAAAUUUGGAUUAAUACCCCGUAACAUAGCGAUGUGGCAUCACAUUGCUAUUAUAGCUUCGGCGCUUGUUGAUGGGUGUGCGGCUGAUUAGAUAGUUGGCGGGGUAACGGCCCACCAAGUCUACGAUCAGUAGCUGAUGUGAGAGCAUGAUCAGCCACACGGGCACUGAGACACGGGCCCGACUCCUACGGGAGGCAGCAGUAAGGAAUAUUGGACAAUGGACGCAAGUCUGAUCCAGCCAUGCCGCGUGAAGGAUUAAGGUCCCCUGGAUUGUAAACUUCUUUUAUAAGGGACGAAAAAAGGUCUUUCUAGAUCGUCUGACGGUACCUUAUGAAUAAGCACCGGCUAACUCCGUGCCAGCCGCCGCGGUAAAAC
rnacentral:rRNA from 1 species